UACGUAGGUGGCAAGCGUUGUCCGGAUUUACUGGGCGUAAAGAGCGCGCAGGCGGUCGGAUAAGUCGAAUGUGAAAGCCCCCGGCUCAACUGGGGAGGGGCAUUCGAUACUGUUCGACUCGAAGGCAGGAGAGGGAAGUGGAAUUCCCGGUGUAGUGGUGAAAUGCGUAGAUAUCGGGAGGAACACCAGUGGCGAAGGCGACUUCCUGGCCUGUUCUUGACGCUGAGGCGCGAAAGCUAGGGGAGCAAACAGG
rnacentral:rRNA from 1 species